rnacentral:rRNA from 1 species
AAGAGGUCCAGCCUGCCCAGUGACCCUGUUCAACGGCCGCGGUAUCCUAACCGUGCGAAGGUAGCGUAAUCACUUGUUCUUUAAAUGUGGACUAGUAUGAAUGGCACCACGAAGGUUACACUGUCUCCUUUUUCUAAUCAGUGAAACUAAUCUCCCCGUGAAGAAGCGGGGAUAUAACUAUAAGACGAGAAGACCCUAUGGAGCUUUAAACAACAUAGCACCUGCCAUAUAACAUAAAAUUUUCUGAAUUUUUACUUCGCCAGGCAAGAUGACUACAAGUUUUUGGUUGGGGUGACCACGGAGCAUAACAUAACCUCCAUGUUGAAAGAAUCCUCUUCUAAGCCGAGAUUUACUUAUCAAAGCAUCAAUAUACUGACAUCCAUUGACCCAAUACAUUUGAACAACGAACCAAGUUACCCUAGGGAUAACAGCGCAAUCCACUUCAAGAGCUCCUAUCGACAAGUGGGUUUACGACCUCGAUGUUGGAUCAGGGUAUCCCAGUGGUGUAGCCGCUACUAAAGGUUCGUUUGUUCAACGAUUAAAACCCUACG